rnacentral:tRNA from 1 species
GCGAACGUAGUUCAGUGGUAGAACACCCACCUUGCCAAGGGUGGGGGUCGCGGGGUUCGAAUCCCGUCGUUCGCU